rnacentral:rRNA from 1 species
UACGGGAGGCAGCAGUGGGGAAUAUUGCACAAUGGGCGCAAGCCUGAUGCAGCCAUGCCGCGUGUAUGAAGAAGGCCUUCGGGUUGUAAAGUACUUUCAGUCGUGAGGAAGGUGUUAAGGUUAAUAACCUUAGCAAUUGACGUUAGCGACAGAAGAAGCACCGGCUAACUCCGUGCCAGCAGCCGCGGUAAUACGGAGGGUGCGAGCGUUAAUCGGAAUUACUGGGCAUAAAGGGCACGCAGGCGGUUAAUUAAGUUGGAUGUGAAAUCCCCGGGCUUAACCUGGGAAUGGCAUUCAAGACUGGUUAGCUAGAGUCUUGUAGAGGGGGUAGAAUUCCAUGUGUAGCGGUGAAAUGCGUAGAGAUGUGGAGGAAUACCGGUGGCGAAGGCGGCCCCUGGACAAAGACUGACGCUCAUGUGCGAAAGCGUGGGGAGCAAACAGGGAUUAGAUACC